CUACGGGUGGCUCCAGUGGGGAAUAUUGGACAAUGGGGGAAACCCUGAUCCAGCAAUGCCGCGUGUGUGAAGAAGGCCUGCGGGUUGUAAAGCACUUUCGGUUGGGAGGACUGCUUCUAGCACUAAUAUUGUUGGAAGUUGACGUUACCUUCAGAAGCAGCACCGGCUAACUCCGUGCCAGCAGCCGCGGUAAUACGGGGGUGCAAGCGUUAAUCGGAAUUACUGGGCGUAAAGCGCGCGUAGGCGGCUAGAUCAGUCGGGUGUGAAAGCCCCGGGCUUAACCUGGGAACUGCAUCCGAUACUGUCUAGCUUGAGUACAGGAGAGGAGAGGGGAAUUUCACAUGUAGCGGUGAAAUGCGUAGAUAUGUGGAGGAACACCAAUGGCGAAGGCAGCUCUCUGGCCUGAUACUGACGCUGAGGUGCGAAAGCGUGGGGAGCAAACAGGAUUAGAUACCCGGGUAGUC
rnacentral:rRNA from 1 species